rnacentral:pre_miRNA from 1 species
GUAGUACUCCCUCCGUUCCGAAUUACUCGUCGCAGAAAUGGAUGUAUCUAGAUGUAUUUUAGUUCUAAAUACAUCCAUUUCUGAGACGAGUAAUUUGGAACGGAGGGAGUAUUUG